UCUUGCCAUUACAAACACGAGGGAAGGACGUAAACAGCGAAACAUUCAAUUCAAAAAAUGGUUUCUCCCUCCUCUCUCCCUCUCCCUCUCUCUCUUUCUCUUUCUCUCUCUAGGGUUUCUUCCCGCUCGGUGGAGAUGAUCGAGGCGCUUUCUUCAUGCAAAAGGGGAUGAUGGUCCAUCCGGAAAUACGGCGAGAAUAAAAAAAAACAUCUCCUUUAAGAAUCUCAGCUCUUCUUCUUCUUCUUCUUCCUCCUUCUCUUCUUCUUCUUCUUCUUCUUCAGUAUUGCAUUUCGAAUGAGCUGACAGUGAAGGGGAAAACUAGGGCUUGAGGUAGUGACCAUCAUGGAAUCGUCUCAGGCGCUAGCUCGCGGUUGGCACCGGUCCUCUUUCCUUCGCCGUGCUCGCUGGCGAUUCUGUUACGGAAUGCCCCCCCGGAAGAAGGACGCGGCGGUGGGGACUUGAAGAGCUCGAUUGGGAACCAUGGAUGGAACUUGGGGAUUGAAGGUGAGAUGAGGUCCCUAUGAAGAUUAUUGAAGUAUUGCAUGAAAGAACGUACUUCUUUCUGAGUUGGAAAUGUACUGAGAGGGAAAUAUCCUCCUCCAAGUUAAGGUGGGAAUGAAGCCAUCGGUCCGUAGCAGUUAUAUAUUGUAUGAUAUUAAAGAUCACUUCCAAUAUGAAUUUUGAAAUAUAGAGGUCGAUGAAUAGCAUGUUUUUUCCCCUUUUGUUUCUUUAUAUAUUAUGUUUGAAGCA